UACGUAGGGGGGCAAGCGUUGUCCGGAAUCAUUGGGCGUAAAGAGCGUGUAGGCGGCCAGGUAGGUCUGCUGUGAAAACUCGAGGCUCAACCUCGAGACGUCGGCGGAAACCAUCUGGCUAGAGUCCGGAAGAGGAGAGUGGAAUUCCUGGUGUAGCGGUGAAAUGCGCAGAUAUCAGGAGGAACACCAAUGGCGAAGGCAGCUCGCUGGGACGGUACUGACGCUGAGGCGCGAAAGCGUGGGGAGCAAACAGG
rnacentral:rRNA from 1 species